rnacentral:misc_RNA from 1 species
UACGUAGGGGGCAAGCGUUGUCCGGAUUCACUGGGCGUAAAGGGCGUGUAGGCGGCUACGUUAGUCCGGCGUGAAAAGUCACGGCUCAACCGUGAUCCUGCGUCGGAUACUGCGUUGGCUAGAGGACGGUAGAGGCAGAUGGAACUAGCGGUGUAGCGGUGAAAUGCGCAGAUAUCGCUAGGAACGCCGGUGGCGAAGGCGAUCUGCUGGGCCGUUCCUGACGCUGAGGCGCGAAAGCUAGGGGAGCGAACCGG